rnacentral:rRNA from 1 species
GACGAACGCUGGCGGCGUGCCUAACACAUGCAAGUCGAACGGAGAUACGAUUUCGGUUGUAUCUUAGUGGCGAACGGGUGAGUAACGCGUGAGCAACCUGACCUUCAGAGGGGGAUAACAUUUGGAAACAGAUGCUAAUACCGCAUAAGACCACGACCCGACAUCGGGAUGAGGUCAAAGGAGCAAUCCGCUGAAGGAGGGGCUCGCGUCCCAUUAGAUAGAUGGCGGGGUAACGGCCCACCAUGUCGACGAUGGGUAGCCGGGCUGAGAGGCGGAUCGGCCACACUGGAACUGAGACACGGUCCAGACUCCUACGGGAGGCAGCAGUGGGGAAUAUUGGGCAAUGGGCGCAAGCCUGACCCAGCAACGCCGCGUGAGGGAAGAAGGCUUUCGGGUUGUAAACCUCUGUCCUUGGUGACGAAACAAGUGACGGUAGCCAAGGAGGAAGCCCCGGCUAACUGCGUGCCAGCCGCCGCCGUAA